rnacentral:rRNA from 1 species
UACGUAGGGCGCGAGCGUUGUCCGGAAUCAUUGGGCGUAAAGAGCUCGUAGGCGGCCUGUCGCGUCUGCUGUGAAAUCCCGGGGCUUAACCCCGGGCGUGCAGUGGAUACGGGCUGGCUGGAGGCAGGCAGGGGAGAACGGAAUUCCCGGUGUAGCGGUGAAAUGCGCAGAUAUCGGGAGGAACACCGGUGGCGAAGGCGGUUCUCUGGGCCGUAACUGACGCUGAGGAGCGAAAGCAUGGGUAGCGAACAGG